rnacentral:rRNA from 1 species
CACGUAGGGGGCGAGCGUUGUCCGGAUUUAUUGGGCGUAAAGAGCUCGUAGGCGGUUCAGUAAGUCGGGUGUGAAACCCCCGGGCUCAACCCGGGGACGCCACCUGAUACUGCUGUGACUGGAGUCCGGUAGGGGAGCGUGGAAUUCCUGGUGUAGCGGUGAAAUGCGCAGAUAUCAGGAGGAACACCAGCGGCGAAGGCGGCGCUCUGGACCGGUACUGACGCUGAGGAGCGAAAGCGUGGGGAGCGAACAGG